CUAUGCGCCUUGCCAGCCCGCUCAGGUGUGCCAGCCGCCGCGGUAAUACGGAGGAUGCGAGCGUUAUCCGGAUUUAUUGGUUUAAAGGGUGCGUAGGUGGUUAAUUAAGUCAGCGGUGAAAGUUUGUGGCUCAACCAUAAAAUUGCCGUUGAAACUGGUUGACUUGAGUAUAUUUGAGGUAGGCGGAAUGCGUGGUGUAGCGGUGAAAUGCAUAGAUAUCACGCAGAACUCCGAUUGCGAAGGCAGCUUACUAAACUAUAACUGACACUGAAGCAUGAAAGCGUGGGGAUCAAACAGG
rnacentral:rRNA from 1 species